GAUAAACGCUGGCGGCGUGCCUAAUACAUGCAAGUCGAGCGAACGGACGAGAAGCUUGCUUCUCUGAUGUUAGCGGCGGACGGGUGAGUAACACGUGGAUAACCUACCUAUAAGACUGGGAUAACUUCGGGAGACCGGAGCUAAUACCGGAUAAUAUUUUGAACCGCAUGGUUCAAAAGUGAAAGACGGUCUUGCUGUCACUUAUAGAUGGAUCCGCGCUGCAUUAGCUAGUUGGUAAGGUAACGGCUUACCAAGGCAACGAUGCAUAGCCGACCUGAGAGGGUGAUCGGCCACACUGGAACUGAGACACGGUCCAGACUCCUACGGGAGGCAGCAGUAGGGAAUCUUCCGCAAUGGGCGAAAGCCUGACGGAGCAACGCCGCGUGAGUGAUGAAGGUCUUCGGAUCGUAAAACUCUGUUAUUAGGGAAGAACAUAUGUGUAAGUAACUGUGCACAUCUUGACGGUACCUAAUCAGAAAGCCACGGCUAACUACGUGCCAGCAGCCGCGGUAAUACGUAGGUGGCAAGCGUUAUCCGGAAUUAUUGGGCGUAAAGCGCGCGUAGGCGGUUUUUUAAGUCUGAUGUGAAAGCCCACGGCUCAACCGUGGAGGGUCAUUGGAAACUGGAAAACUUGAGUGCAGAAGAGGAAAGUGGAAUUCCAUGUGUAGCGGUGAAAUGCGCAGAGAUAUGGAGGAACACCAGUGGCGAAGGCGACUUUCUGGUCUGUAACUGACGCUGAUGUGCGAAAGCGUGGGGAUCAAACAGGAUUAGAUACCCUGGUAGUCCACGCCGUAAACGAUGAGUGCUAAGUGUUAGGGGGUUUCCGCCCCUUAGUGCUGCAGCUAACGCAUUAAGCACUCCGCCUGGGGAGUACGACCGCAAGGUUGAAACUCAAAGGAAUUGACGGGGACCCGCACAAGCGGUGGAGCAUGUGGUUUAAUUCGAAGCAACGCGAAGAACCUUACCAAAUCUUGACAUCCUUUGACAACUCUAGAGAUAAAGCCUUCUCCUUCGGGGGACAAAGUGACAGGUGGUGCAUGGUUGUCGUCAGCUCGUGUCGUGAGAUGUUGGGUUAAGUCCCGCAACGAGCGCAACCCUUAAGCUUAGUUGCCAUCAUUAAGUUGGGCACUCUAAGUUGACUGCCGGUGACAAACCGGAGGAAGGUGGGGAUGACGUCAAAUCAUCAUGCCCCUUAUGAUUUGGGCUACACACGUGCUACAAUGGACAAUACAAAGGGCAGCGAAACCGCGAGGUCAAGCAAAUCCCAUAAAGUUGUUCUCAGUUCGGAUUGUAGUCUGCAACUCGACUACAUGAAGCUGGAAUCGCUAGUAAUCGUAGAUCAGCAUGCUACGGUGAAUACGUUCCCGGGUCU
rnacentral:rRNA from 1 species